rnacentral:rRNA from 1 species
AACGAACGCUGGCGGCAGGCUUAGCACAUGCAAGUCUAACGCCCCGCAAGGGGAGUGGCAGACGGGUGAGUAACGCGCGGGAAUCUACCGUACCCUACGGAACAACAGUUGGAAACGACUGCUAAUACCGUAUACGCCCUACGGGGGAAAGAUUUAUCGGGGUAUGAUGAGGCCGCGUGGGAUUAGCUAGUUGGUUGGGUAAAGUCCUACCACGGAGACGGUCCAUAGCCGGGCUGAGAGGAUGAUCAGCGACAUUGGGGCUGAGACACGGCCCAAACUCCUACAGGAGGCGGCAGUGGGGAAUAUUGGAAAAUGGGCGCAAGCAUGAACCAGCCAUGCUGCGUGAGUGAUGAAGGUCUUAGGAUUGUAAAGCUCUUUCACCGAUGAAGAUAAUGACGGUAGUCGAAGAAGAAGCCCCGGCUAACUUCGUGCCAGCCGCCGCCGUAA